rnacentral:rRNA from 1 species
GACGAACGCUGGCGGCGUGCCUAAUACAUGCAAGUUGAGCGAUGAAGAUUGGUGCUCGCACCCAUUUGAAGAGCAGCGAACGGGUGAGUAACGCGUGGGGCAUCUUCCUUUGAGCGGGGGACAACAUUUGGAAACGAAUGCUAAUACCACCUAACAACUUUAAACAUAAGAUUUAAGUUUGAAAGAUGCAAUUGCAUCACUCAAAGAUGAUCCCGCGUUGUAUUAGCUAGUUGGUGAGGUAAAGGCUCACCAAGGCGAUGAUACAUAGCCGACCUGAGAGGGUGAUCGGCCACAAUGGGACUGGGACACGGCCCAAACUCCUAAGGGAGGCAGCAGUAGGGAAUCUUCGGCAAUGGACGAAAGUCCGACCGAGCAAAGCCGCGUGAGUGAAGAAGGUUUUCGGAUCGGAAAACUCUGUUGGUAGAGAAGGACGUUGGUGAGGGUGGAAAGCUCAUCAAGUGACGGUAACUACACAGAAAGGGACGGCUAACUACGUG